rnacentral:rRNA from 1 species
UACAGAGGUCUCAAGCGUUGUUCGGAUUUACUGGGCGUAAAGGGCGCGUAGGCGGCCAGCACAAGUCAGUUGUGAAAUCUCCGAGCUUAACUCGGAAAGGUCAACUGAUACUGUGCGGCUAGAGUGCGGAAGGGGCAACUGGAAUUCUCGGUGUAGCGGUGAAAUGCGUAGAUAUCGAGAGGAACACCUGCGGCGAAGGCGGGUUGCUGGGCUGACACUGACGCUGAUGCGCGAAAGCCAGGGGAGCGAACGGG